GCCAUAUUUGUACCGUUCAUGCAGAGGAAUUGAGAUAAAUUGGCUUCUUCUAGGUCAGUAAGCGAUCAUCCAGAAGAAGAAAGCAUAAUUUCAUACUAGUUUUGAAAAGGAUAUACGUAUUAAGGGUUAGAAGGCUGUCCAGUGAAACUGGGGACUGACUGUGGAACAGAAAAUGGUGUAAUGGCAGCUAUGCAAUGUACAUUUCCGCAAGAUGCAGAAGCACGCAAGUAUGGGUCAUCUCUGGUGAACCAAAGGAUUGAGGGCUGGACACCAUGUGUUGCCUGACAUUCCAAAUGACUACUGCACAGGAGUCAACAGACAGGACACACUGAUGCUCUCUUCUCAGUGGCAGCCCAAGGAAGGCCUAUACCCUGACAUUAGGCAAUGAAGAUCUGUACUGUUCUAUGAAUAGGGAAGAGUUUGGAGACUGCAUUGGUGGAGGAUGGAUGUUGGUCAUGAAGAUUGAUGGCAAACAGGACACCUUCAGUCACAAUUCAAACAUGUGGUCUUCCAGGUCUUCAGUCUCUCCUGAAAAUGGAGUCACAAGAUUGGAUCACUUAGAGACCCUGUAACCAACCUACUGGAGCACAUCCUUUACCAAAAUCUGCCUAACCAUGAAGAUUGAUAGACAAGGAAACUGUGAAUAAGUCGCGGACACUUAAACAUCCAAAUGGGUUUUGAAGAUAAUGAAAUUCCUCUUUAUAAAAAAGAUACACUUUUACAUGUUAACAUAGGCAGCCGAUGGGUAACUCUUGGAUAGAGUUGAUUGCUGGGGUGAUGUUGGGUGAAUAGUCAGAAUUCACAUUUUGGCUAUCAUUUGACCUGCAUCAUUCCUUUACCUUCACUUUUGCCAUAAAAGUGUACACUUUUUAUGGCAGAUUUUUAAGGUAACAUUUGUAUGAAUGUGCUGCAGGUUGUGAAUAAGUUACACACUCCAUUCCUCCUCGUUCUUUUUGAAUAAUAUUCCAUUGGCUUGCAGUUGAAUCCUCACAAAAUUGCAAAUGAAUGACUGGCUGGUUGGCUAUCAGUUUACAGGGUCCUUUUAAAUAAGAUCUGACUUUUGUUGCUAAGUCAUAUUCUCAAUUUCACAGUCAGUGUAGUCUUUCUUUUCUACAAGCCUGCUUAAUUUUUUCAAGAGAUGUGACCAUCUUGCUUCUGCUGUUGACAAUGAGCAAAACUAUGUAAGAUUAUCCAGCAUAUCUUGAAAUAGCAAAC